rnacentral:rRNA from 1 species
UACGUAGGGGGCUAGCGUUGUCCGGAAUCAUUGGGCGUAAAGAGCGUGUAGGCGGCCCGGUAAGUCCGCUGUAAAAGUCAAAGGCUCAACCUUUGAAUGUCAGUGGAUACUGCCGGGCUAGAGUCCGGAAGAGGCGAGUGGAACUCCUGGUGUAGCGGUGGAAUGCGCAGAUAUCAGGAGGAACACCGGUGGCGAAGGCGGUUCUCUGGGCAUGUCCUGACGCUGAGGAGCGAAAGUGUGGGGAGCGAACAGG